CUAAAUUAUGGCAGGUUGAAAAUAUAUUUGGCUUCCAGUAAAAUGUUAUGAUUUCUUUCAAGACUAUAGUGCAUCUACUGUGUGUAUGACCAAGAAUAGUACCAUGAACAAAACAGAAGCAGGUGAGAGAUAAACAGACCGUAAUGCAGCAGCCUAAUAACCACAGCAGCCGGUCUCCUAAGGACAAGAGCCUGGAGACUGUGGAUGCUACCCACUCAGCAACCUGGAAUAAACCACAACUCCUCAACAGCAAGUCUCUUCCAAGUUCCAGUACCAAUACCUUACACUCUCUCUUGGCGAUCUUAUCCAGUGAGAGGACGGGGCGUUCGGGGGGGAGGUAGAGGGGUCGCCCCACUGGAGAUCCCACUGGAGGAGUGAUGGCCCGGCGCUCCAUAGCACUGCCCGUCCUGGAACAGAUGGGGCAGACAGACGCAACAGACAGGCACACACACAAGAUGGGGAUGAUUAGGAGAGAGUUCAUAGAGUCUGAGAGCGGUCAGAGAGGCACUGCCAGAACGUCUCUAACAGCAGGGCUGGAGGGAGAGUUGUGACGGGACAGGGACAGAGACAUGGGCCUGGCCUCAGCAGGAGGGUUGGAACAGGACGCUGUGAACUGGAGCUUCAGCUUCAUGUGCUGGCUUAACUGGAAAGGAAGAGGAGGGUGAGUGAGUAAUGUUUGGUAAGACAAGACCAGACCGGACCGGACCGGACGUGAGUGUGAGUGUGUUGGUACCUCAAACAGUCCUGCCUUGAGAAUCUGGAAGGCAACUGUGAAGGAGAGGGUGGAUCCUUUCCGACAUUGUCCCAAGUUGUUGAGGGGGGAGUGACACACCACAGAACUCGCUGACGGGUCCUCCUGCCGACCACGUCCUGGGGGGAGGAAGGAAGAGAGGAUGGUGUUUAGUUUAACCAAGGAGAGAGCAAUAUAAUAUAACCUAAAGUCAUUCUGUUCAUCUGGUAUGUAGUCAGUUAGUUAGGGGCUUUGUUGCAAAUCAUGACUGGAUGUUAGACAGGAUUCACCCCUCAUCUACCACUACACAUCUCCCUCCCUCCCUCCCUCCCUCCCUCCCUCCCUCCCUCCCUCCCUCCCUCCCUCCCUCCCUCCCUCCCUCCCUCCCUCGUAACAACCUAUCCAUUAUUUUUUCUCACUUUCCUCCAUCUUCCCUCUGUCUCUUUCAAUCCCUCUUCCAAUCUCUCUCUAUCACUCUUUCCCCCCCUCCAUAAUAAUUAUCUCUUCUUACCUUCGGGUGUCCAGACCAGGCGUACAGCCAGGAAGUCCUGCAGGUUGUUGAGGAGGGUGUAUUUGACCCGGAAGUGCUCCAGCGGCCUCACGGAACUCUGACAAGAAGCUGUCAUCACCAAACGGGGGCGGUCCAGUCUCACACUGGGUAGCUGGUAGUGGGUCGAAAUGUACCUGGGGAAGGGAAGUGAAGAAGGUCAAAUCAGAUAAUAAUGGGGUAGGUAUAUUUGGACAGAUAAUAGAGUUAAUGAAGAGUAGUUAUUAUGGGUUAGUUCCAACAAAUACUGGGUGUACACUUACCUUGUGAAGGGAAGGCUUGUCGUUAUGCUUGUAGUUAUAACAGGAUAGUUACAGUGCAUUCGGAAAGUAUUGGGACCCCUUCCCACAUUUAGUUACGUUACAGCCUUAUUCUAAAAUGGAUUCAAAUACUUUUCCCCCCUCAUCAAUCUAUACACAAUACCCCAUAAUGACAAAGCGAAAACAGGUUUUUCAAGAUUUUUGCAAAUUUAUAAAAAAUUGAUUGAAAAAAACACCUUAUUUACUUAAGUAUUCAGACCCUUUGCUAUGAGACUCGAAAUUGGGCUCAGGUGCAUCCUGUUUCUAUUGAUCAUCCUUGAGAUGUUUCUACAACUUGAUUGGCGUCCACCUGUGGUAAAUUCAAUUGAUUUGGAAAGACACGCACCUGUCUAUAUAAGAUCCCACAGUUGACAGUGCAUGUCAGUGCAAAAACCAAGCCAUGAGGUCAAAGGAAUUGUCCGUAGAGCUCCAGGACAGGAUUGUGUCGAGGCACAGAUCUGGGGAAGGGUAUAAAAACAUUUCUGCAGCAUUGAAGGUCCCCAAGAACACAGUAGUCUCCAUCAUUCUUAAAUGGAAGAAGUUUGGAACCACAAAGACUCUUCCAAGAGCUGGCUGAAUGGCCAAACUAAGCAAUCGGGGGAGAAAGGCUUUGGUCAGGGAGGUGAUUAAGAACCCUAUGGUCACUCUGACAGAGCUCCAGAGUUCCUCUGUGGAGAUGGGAGAACAUUCCAGAAGGACAACCAUCUCUGUAGCACCACCAAUCAGUAAAAGGCACAUGACAGCCAAAAGGCACAUGACAGCCAAAAGGCACCUAAAGGACUCUCAGACCAUGAGAAACAAGAUUCUCUGGUCUGAUGAAACCAAGAUUUAACUCCAGCAAGCAUUUUUUCUUACCGAGAUUACUGUUCUAAAACAUGUUCUUGGGUUUAAAAUAAUCCAUACUGAAACUUUCAGAUGAAGGUUGUGUGAAUUAAACAUGGUCAAUUGCUUUCAUGAGCUUUUUCUCUCACUGCCCUGAGUUUAAGACAAGGGUUUAACCAUCUUGGAAUUCAGAACAUAUCCAAGAAUCUUUUUGCGAAAGGAGAAACAUAAGAAAUAGCACAAGAACAUUUCCUAGAACCUUCUUGAGGAACAGCACCGUUGCUUAACCCUCUUCGAGUCUAUAGUUAAGGAAAAAAUGGCAGUUAAGAGGAAAAUGCUUCUUAAGACUUUUUGUGAAUCCGGCCCCUGGGCCUCCUGAGUGGCGCAGCAGUCUAAUGCUAGAGGCAUCAUUACAGACCCGGGUUCGAUCCCGGGCAGUAUCCCAACCGGCCGUCAUCCCAUAGGGCGGCGCACAAUUGGCCAAGCGUUGUCCGGGUUAGGGGAGGGUCUGGCGGGGGGGCUAUACUUGGUUCAUCGCGAUCUCUAGCGACUCCUUAUGGCAGGCUGGGCACUUGCAAGCACACCCCAGUCAUAAGUUGAACGGUGUUUCCUCUGACACAUUGGUGCGGCUGGCUCCCAGGUUAAGCGGGCGAGUUUUAAGAAGCAUGGUUGGGCGGGUCAUAUUUCGGAGGACGCAUGACUCGACCUUCGCCUCCCGAGCCCAUUGGGGGGUUGCAGCGAUGAGACAAGAUCAAAACUGUGGAGAAAAAGAGGGUAAAAUAAAAACAUUUAAAAAUAGACCUACCUGGUAAAUGGAAGCUUAGAGGUAGACCAUUGCAGCACAGCCACCAAUGGAACCUCCAGACCCUAAAGCAGAAAGAAAAACACAUUCCUCAAAUGAUAUCAUGCUGUAGACAUAAGGACAUUAUUGGCAGAUCUUUCAUGCAUACGUUUAAUCUAAAACAGUUUAAAUGAUCUCACACUAAAGCCGGUUGUACACGACACAAAGAAAAAAUAUAUAUAAUAAUUUGCUAAGCGAUGGAAUUGCCAACAUAGUGGUGCGCACACUAAACAAUGUGGCACACUAAACAAUGUGGCACACUAAACAAUGUGGCACACUAAACAAUGUGGCACACUAAACAAUGUGGCACACUAAACAAUGUGGCACACUAAACAAUGUGGCACAGAUGGGGGUCACACGCUACAAUAUUCUUCACUUGGUCGUAAGGAUUGUCGAUACCACGCUGUCUCGCCAAAACAACGAUGUGAUUAGAUUUAACUUAGCUACAACGAGCUGUGGCUCAAAGCAGCCUCAAAUAUCUUCAGUCAGACAUUAACGCUUGCCAUACAAUGCAAUCUGAAAGUAUUCAGACCCCUUGACUUUUUCCAAAUGUUUUCAUUUUACAGCCCCAAUUGUUUUUCUCCCUCAUCAAUCUACACACAAUACCCCAUAGCGACAAAGCAAAAACUAUUUAUAAGAAAUAAAAACUGAAAUAUCACAUUUACAUAAGUAUUCAGACCCUUUACUCAGUACUUUGUUGAAGCACCUUUGGCAGCGAUUACAGCCUCAAGUCUUCUUGGGUAUGAUGCUACAAGCUCGGCACACCUGUAUUUGGGAAGUUUCUCCCAUUUCUCUCUGCAGAGCCUCUAAAGCUCUGUCAGGUUGGAUGGGGAGCGUCGCUGCACAGCUAUUUUUAAGUCUCUCCAGAGAUGUAUUGGGUUCAAGUCCGGGCUCUGUCUGGGCCACUCAAGGACAUUGUGGUGGUGAAAUUACAAUAUUAUGUUAUAAUACUGUUAUUGCAUCAAAUGGUAAUUUUAUGCAACAGAAUAGGGUUCUUAGAACUCUAUUGUGUCUGUGUGAACUAAGAGUGGGCCUCUGCGGCUUAAUGCUAAGAGUAGAUUUACGUUGCCUUAAGUGAUAAACCUAACAAGCCACAUUCCAUUCAUGUGAGGGAAAUUGCUCUGCUCUGACUGGAUGGCACUGGGGAGAGAUGGCUCGGGUUGAGAGGAACCUCGUUUUGGGGGCCAAACCCUGGUUUUCAUACAAUGAGAACAGUCUUCACAGCAGAUACUGUCUGCUAUGAAUUAUUCAUUUAUUUCAUACAAAUCCUAACCUUGUGACCAAUUCCACACAUCUGUUGUUUGUCAUCUAGACUAAGGUGGUGUAUCUUUGCCAUAUAAAAGAUGUUGGUAUUUCUUGUGUCGGGACUCUCAACACAACAUUCAAGAAUGUUGUGUCGACCAGCCAUCGUUAUUGCAGAGCACUCACAUGAAUCACCUGUGUGUGUGGUGUGACAUGCUAUUCUUAUUAAUAAGUGAAUAAAGAUUUUGUUUAACUCUGA